rnacentral:rRNA from 1 species
GAUGAACGCUGGCGGCGUGCCUAAUACAUGCAAGUCGAGCGAACAGACGAGGAGCUUGCUCCUCUGACGUUAGCGGCGGACGGGUGAGUAACACGUGGAUAACCUACCUAUAAGACUGGGAUAACUUCGGGAAACCGGAGCUAAUACCGGAUAAUAUAUUGAACCGCAUGGUUCAAUAGUGAAAGACGGUUUUGCUGUCACUUAUAGAUGAAUCCGCGCCGCAUUAGCUAGUUGGUAAGGUGACGGCUUACCAAGGCGACGAUGCGUAGCCGACCUGAGAGGGUGAUCGGCCACACUGGAACUGAGACACGGUCCAGACUCCUACGGGAGGCAGCAGUAGGGAAUCUUCCGCAAUGGGCGAAAGCCUGACGGAGCAACGCCGCGUGAGUGAUGAAGGUCUUCGGAUCGUAAAACUCUGUUAUUAGGGAAGAACAAAUGUGUAAGUAACUAUGCACGUCUUGACGGUACCUAAUCAGAAAGCCACGGCUAACUACGUG